UUGACGCUGGCGGCAGGCCUAUCACAUGCAUUUCGAGCGGAUGAAGAGAGCUUGCUCUCUGAUUUAGCGGCGGACGGGUGAGUAAUGCCUAGGAAUCUGCCUGGUAGUGGGGGAUAACGUUCCGAAAGGAACGCUAAUACCGCGUACGUCCUACGGGAGAAAGCAGGGGACCUUCGGGCCUUGCGCUAUCAGAUGAGCCUAGGUCGGAUUAGCUAGUUGGUGAGGUAAUGGCUCACCAAGGCGACGAUCCGUAACUGGUCUGAGAGGAUGAUCAGUCACACUGGAACUGAGACACGGUCCAGACUCCUACGGGAGGCAGCAGUGGGGAAUAUUGGACAAUGGGCGAAAGCCUGAUCCAGCCAUGCCGCGUGUGUGAAGAAGGUCUUCGGAUUGUAAAGCACUUUAAGUUGGGAGGAAGGGCAGUAAGUUAAUACCUUGCUGUUUUGACGUUACCGACAGAAUAAGCACCGGCUAACUUCGUGCCAGCAGCCGCGGUAAUACGAAGGGUGCAAGCGUUAAUCGGAAUUACUGGGCGUAAAGCGCGCGUAGGUGGUUCGUUAAGUUGGAUGUGAAAGCCCCGGGCUCAACCUGGGAACUGCAUCCAAAACUGGCGAGCUAGAGUACGGUAGAGGGUGGUGAAUUUCCUGUGUAGCGGUGAAAUGCGUAGAUAUAGGAAGGAACACCAGUGCGAUGCGACCACCUGGACUGAUACUGACACUGAGGUGCGAAAGCGUUGGGAGCAACAGAUUAGAUACCCUGUAGUCCACGCCGUAAACGAUGUCACUAGCCGUUGAAUCCUUGAAAUUUACUGGCGCACCUACGCAUAGUGACCGCUGGGGAGUACGCCGCAGUUAACUCAAUGAUUGACGGGUCGCCAGCGGUGGACAGUGUUAUUCGAGCACCCGAAACUUACUGCUGCAUGCUAGAACUUCCGAAUGAUGUGCCUCGGACUCAACGUCUGUAUGCUGUCUCACUCAGUCG
rnacentral:rRNA from 1 species